CGUAGCCGAUGGACAGCAGGUUAAUAUUCCUGCACCACCGAAACUCGAUCAAGACCGAAGGGGGGACGCAGACCGUAAGCCGCUGGUGUAAUGGUUUAAACCAGAUGGUGAAGGGAGAGUCGGAGAGGCAAAUCCGCCGAUUCGUCUGCCAGGAAAAGCCUCUAAGGAGAGUUAGGUAACCGUACCACAAACCGACACAGGUGGACGAGAUGAAUAUUCUAAGGCGCUCGGGUGAUGGUAUGUUCAGGAACUAGGCACAUUAGCUCCGUAACUUCGGGAGAAGGAGUGCCCACGCAAGUGGGUCGCAGUGAAGAGUCUCAGGCGACUGUUUAACAAAAACACAGGUCUCUGCUAAGUCGAAAACGACGUAUAGGGCCUGACGCCUGCCCGGUGCCGGAAGGUUAAAGGGAGAGGUUAGCGCAAGCGAAGCUUUGAACUGAAGCCCCGGUGAACGGCGGCCGUAACAAUAACGGUCCUAAGGUAGCGAAAUUCCUUGUCGGGUAAGUUCCGACCUGCACGAAUGGCGUAACGAUCUGAGAACUGUCUUAACAUGCCGCCCGGCGAACUUGUGGUCCCGGUGAAGACGCCGGGUGCCCGCCACUAGACGAAAAGACCACGUGCACCUUUACUAUACUUUUUCAUUGAUUUAUGGGGCCAUCUGCGCAGCAUAGGUGGGAGGCUUUGAUUCCAGGUUCUCGGACUUGGAGGAGCCAACGGUGAGAUACCACCCUGAUGGUUCUGUGAAUCUAACCUGUUCCCGUGAUCCGGGAAAGGGACAAUGGAAGACGGGUAGUUUGACUGGGGCGGUCGCCUCCUAAAUUGUAACGGAGGCGCGCGAAGCUAGGUUCAGGCUGUUUGGAAAUCAGCCGACGAGUGCAAAAGCAUAAACCUGGUUAACUGUAAGACCAACAAGUCGAGCAGAUACGAAAGUAGGCUUUAGUGAUCCGGUGAUUCUGUAUGGAAGGGUCAUCGCUCAACGGAUAAAAGGUACGCCGGGGAUAACAGGCUGAUCGGAGUCAAGAGUUCACAUCGACGCUCCGGUUUGGCACCUCGAUGUCGGCUCAUCGCAUCCUGGGGGUGUAGAAGCUCCCAAGGGUUAGGCUGUUCGCCUAUUAAAGCGGUACGUGAGCUGGGUUCAGAACGUCGCGAGACAGUUCGGUCUCUAUCUGUGGUGGGCGGAGGAAAUUUGAAGGGGCCUGCCCUUAGUACGAGAGGACCGGGGUGGACGAAUCUCUUGUGUUCCAGUUGUCUCACCAGAGGCAUAGCUGGGUAGCGAAAUUCGGUCAGGUUAAGCGCUGAAUGCAUAUAAGCGCGAAACCUUCCCUAAGAUGAGAUUUCCCAACGAAAGUAAGAAGAGCACUGGAAGACUACCAGUUUGAUAGGGCAGAUGUGUAAGCGUAGCAAUACGUUGAGCUUACUGCUACUAAUCGCUCGUUCGGCUUGACCGA
rnacentral:rRNA from 1 species